GGGUGGUAUACUGAGAUAAAACACAUACUCCGCCAGGAUGUUUGGACAAGGGAGUGGAUCCAGACUUCAAAUCCCCAAGCCAGAUAUUAACACUGGAGGCAAGGGAUCAUGACCAAAUAUUCCGAAUAUUCCAUGUCCAAGAAAUGUACCCAACGUAC